rnacentral:rRNA from 1 species
GACGUAGGGCGCGAGCGUUGUCCGGAUUUAUUGGGCGUAAAGAGCUCGUAGGCGGCUCGUCGCGUCGUCCGUGAAAACUUGGGGCUCAACCCCAAGCUUGCGGUCGAUACGGGCAGGCUCGAGUUCGGUAGGGGAGACUGGAAUUCCUGGUGUAGCGGUGAAAUGCGCAGAUAUCAGGAGGAACACCGGUGGCGAAGGCGGGUCUCUGGGCCGAUACUGACGCUGAGGAGCGAAAGCGUGGGGAGCGAACAGG